rnacentral:rRNA from 1 species
GAUCCUGGCUCGGGACGAACGCUGGCGGCGCGCCUAACACAUGCAAGUCGAACGAGCGAGAGAGAGCUUGCUUUCUCAAGCGAGUGGCGAACGGGUGAGUAACGCGUGAGGAACCUGCCUCAAAGAGGGGGACAACAGUUGGAAACGACUGCUAAUACCGCAUAAGCCCACAGCUCGGCAUCGAGCAGAGGGAAAAGGAGCAAUCCGCUUUGAGAUGGCCUCGCGUCCGAUUAG